GACGAACGCUGGCAGCGUGCUUAACACAUGCCAGUCGAACGGAAAGGCCCUGCUUUUGUGGGGUGCUCGAGUGGCGAACGGGUGAGUAACACGUGAGUAACCUGCCCUUGACUUUGGGAUAACUUCAGGAAACUGGGGCUAAUACCGGAUAGGAGCUCCUGCUGCAUGGUGGGGGUUGGAAAGUUUCGGCGGUUGGGGAUGGACUCGCGGCUUAUCAGCUUGUUGGUGGGGUAGUGGCUUACCAAGGCUUUGACGGGUAGCCGGCCUGAGAGGGUGACCGGCCACAUUGGGACUGAGAUACGGCCCAGACUCCUACGGGAGGCAGCAGUGGGGAAUAUUGCACAAUGGGCGGAAGCCUGAUGCAGCAACGCCGCGUGCGGGAUGACGGCCUUCGGGUUGUAAACCGCUUUCGCCUGUGACGAAGCGUGAGUGACGGUAAUGGGUAAAGAAGCACCGGCUAACUACGUG
rnacentral:rRNA from 1 species